CUAUGCUCAAUCAUUUGCCUUCUCUCAUCAAAUUAACUUUUGUAUUUUUUUCUCUCAUAUUUUACGAAGCAAUGAUAAUUUCUCCAAUAACUUCCCUAAGCUCACAUGCGGAUCUCUGAGCUGUGCUUCAGUUGUGCCUGCUGUGGGCCACAAAUCAAGCUGAUCAACUCAGGUGGGACUGCACAUGUAUGAAAAUCAUGGAAGGUUUUGAAAAGAUUUCCAAUGGUCCACAUCAAACAUUCAAGCGUUGCCUUGCCUGAUGGUUGGAACAUCUUCUUUCUAGGUCUGGUUGUCUACACGGUGGGCCCCACCCAACACACCACUUGGAUGUCCCAUACGUGAGCCAGGUUGGCCUGUGAGGGCGCAGUGAGCUUAGCAUGUCAAUUAGCUUUAAAUAUUCAGAAAUUUGCUGCUAUAACUUUUUGGUUAUGCAUAAAAUCUCUUGGGUGUGGCCCCUACCUCCAAUAUUCAGUCUUGCUGGCCUGCUCAUGAUUUGGCAUAGGGCCAACCAACCGACACCCUCCCUUUUCUUUUCCCCCAAUAAAUGGAUGAAUUCGGAAUGGAAUAAGCGGGGCACGAAUAGGAAAUAACCGAGUGGUUCGUUAAGAUGCUGUGAUCCUGGAUGAAUACUUCAUGUGUUAUUGUGGUGCAAAUUCCCUAUGUGAUCCCACAAAUUAUCAACAAAAAUCAUUGGAUCCACCCUAGAUUGCACACAACGUAAAGGCAUGCAUGAUUGGAGAAUCACAGCCAUGCAGUUUAAAGUCUUGCAAAUGGACGGUAAGAGUAAAAUUCGUCCUACCAUCUAUUCUCCAGGGCCUUGCCUGAAUGGCCCACACAUUAUCAUAGGUGACGCCCCAAAAAAUUUGCAAAAUGAAGUUAUGAAUAAUUCGUUUUAGAUCUUAGCUCAAACUGCCCAACACUCUUAAAAUAAUUGGAGAAACUCUUUAUUGAUAAAAGAAUCUAUGGCCUAUUGCUGCUAAAUGUCAGAAAUAAAACUUCCAGGUGGUGCCAUUUCUUCUGUAUGAUUCUCCUAAAGGUAUUUCGGCUUUUAUGAUUGUGUACACUACUUUCACAGAUGCUCGUUUACACUCCGAGUUUUGAAUCUAGGUGUUAGGGUGGGCCAAGGGUGAGCAAAUUUGAAAUUUUCACUAGGCCCUUCUUGAUGAGCCCAACACACAUAGUUCAAAAUUAAGCCCCAAGAUACUUCCAGGCCUGACAAUUCCCAACCUGUAACAUGCUCUCUAUAUUUUCUUGGUUGUCAAUUGAUGCAAUUUUGUUAUUGAAUUAGUGGGAUCUCGAUAUACCUGAAUCACAAGAAUGGAUGAAGAACUCACCCAUGAGAAUAUUGAAAUAAAGAGGGAUAAACAAUUUUACUGAAAUGGAAACUUCUUCAUUUCUCACAAAAUACUUGUAUAAAACCUUACAAAACUCAUAAAAUGUAAUGCCUCUCUACCUCCUAAAGAACAAACCCAACUUACACAUCGUAAAGUGCCAUCUUAAACUCAUUAUGAAAACCUUUAAUAGAAUUUCCAACUAUUAAAUUAAUUCAAUAUCAAUUAAAUAUACUCAAAUAGCAACAAAUGAAUCUGCCCCCGAUGUCUUCCAACAAUGAGCAAAAUCUUCAUCUAAAAUCCUCCAAAAAUGGAAAAUUGGGCUUGAUUGUGCGCCAUGUGCUUAUAUCUUUCCCCCUGGGUUGGAAAGAACUUGACACAGACGAGAAGAUACUUCAAAUGGUAGAGAUCCGGAUCCAAUCUUUUCACUUUGUCAUCCAUGAUCCAUGAUAUAUUGUUUGUAUCGGGUAAUUUAUCGCACUUUUUUGGGAAUCAUGGGGAAGUUGGUUGAAUGUUUCAAUGAAACUUCUGGAAUUGUUAAAAAAAGACCGUAAUACACACCUUUUAUCAUAACAUGUAAAAAAAGUGCACAUAAUUAUAGGUUUCCUUUGUAUAGGGUCCUAAGCUAUGUGCUAUGACUGAACUAAUACAACUAUAUUUAAAUUGAAUUCAUAACAUUUAUAAAUGUAAGAAGACAUGUACAUAAACACAACCAAUUCAUUCAAAAGGAAAAAGAAGUAGAAUUUGAGAAAUAUAUUUUAAUAAUUUUUGUAUUUUUUAUUUUCCAAAAUACAAGGACUUAAUAAAUCAGUAGAUCAGGCCUCAUACAUGCUUGAUUUCAUGUUUGAAGUGCAACAUUGCAAGCAAUUUGGGAGAAAUUUGAGAAAUUUUGAAUUUCAAUUUCCCCCAAACCACCUACCCUCUAAUAUGGAAAAUAGAGCAUAUGUGAUGAUCAUUUCAUCAAACACUUCUAAAUAGUUUCAAAUUGCACUCAAUUGGUCAUUGGUUGAAGGAAAAUUCGAAAAAAUAAUAAUAUUUUAUUAUUUUUUAAUUAAAAAUAAUUUUUAUUUUUUGAAAUUUUUAAAAAAGUUAACAAAUUGGUAGAUCAGGCCUCAUACAUGCUUGAUUUCAUGUUUGGAGUGCAACAUUGCAAGCAAUUUGGGAGAAAUUGGGAAAUUUUCAAAAUUUUCCUAAUUUUGCCAAAUCAGUCCACCUACACUCAUAUCUCGAAAUUGAAGGUUGAAAUCCUUGAUUUUUCAUGCAAAACGUGGAGAAUUAAGGAUUUCUUCUGACUUCACACUCAUUUUAUAUGAUUUAAACAAAAGAAAUGAUCAAAACGAAAAAUUACUCAUUGAAUGAGAAAUGGCCUCAAAUGCAAGAAAAUCUUGAUUCUGAUUUCGAAUGUGGGUUUUUCUCCCAAAUGCAAGCAAAGGAUGGACCGAAAUCCAGCCACUAAUAGGUUAGAAGAGAGAAAUCUGAAGAAAAAUGGAAAAAAAUAA